UCAGGUUUUACAAGAUGAACUUGAAACCCGCUCUAAUCAGGUGCGAAGUGCGGAGAAAAAAUUACAACACAAAGAACUGGAGUCACAGGAGCAGUCCACACGGCGCGCUCUCAAGGAGGAGGUUCCAGUAAAAGAAAAGUAACUUCCGAAGACGACGCCGAAUCAGCCUGCUGCAGACAGGCAGGUCUGCCCACACCCUACCGAGGACCCCAGUCCCGUGGAACACUCCGAAUCAGCCCGCUGCAGACAGGCAGGUCUGUGCAGGCCCUACCGAGGUCCUGAGUCACGCGGAAGACACCGAAUCACCCCACUGCAGACAGGCACCCACCUGAUUCCACAUUACAAAGGCACCAGACCAAGGUACUGAGUCCCACUGUUCC
rnacentral:lncRNA from 1 species